rnacentral:rRNA from 1 species
AGGGGGAAGCCACUUUCGGGUGGUGGAGACCGGCGCACGGGUGAGUAACGCGUGGGAAUUUACCCUGGGGUGGGGAAUAACCGCUGGAAACGGCGGCUAAUACCGCAUACGCCUUUCGAGGGAAAGCUUUAGUGCCCUGGGAUGAGCCCGCGUUAGAUUAGGUAGUUGGUGGGGUAAAGGCCUACCAAGCCAUCGAUCUAUAGCUGGUCUGAGAGGAUGAUCAGCCACACUGGGACUGAGACACGGCCCAGACUCCUACGGGAGGCAGCAGUGGGGAAUAUUGGACAAUGGGGGCAACCCUGAUCCAGCCAUGCCGCGUGCGUGAAGAAGGCCUUAGGGUUGUAAAGCGCUUUCACUGGUGAAGAUGAUGACGGUAGCCAGAGAAGAAGCCCCGGCUAACUCCGUGCCAGCAGCCGCGGUAAUACGGAGGGGGCAAGCGUUGUUCGGAAUUACUGGGCGUAAAGGGCGCGUAGGCGGGAAGUCAAGUUAGGGGUGAAAGGCCUGGGCUCAACCUAGGAACUGCCUCUAAAACUGGCUUUCUAGAGUCCGGGAGAGGAUGG